rnacentral:lncRNA from 1 species
ACUUCCGCCGCGGUCCCGCCCCCAGCGUGGUCGUAACCCAAGGCAACGGCCCAUCCGGCAGCGACCUGAGUAGCUCUUGCCAGUAGGCCGGGACUAGCUGUCUCGGGGCCUUCCAUCCGCUUGGCCCCACAGGUCCAAGGGUGGGGAAGGACUUCUCCAGCUGCCUGCAUCUGGCCGAGGAAGAUACCAAAAAAGGCGAGGGUAGGGGAAGGUGCCUGCAGCGACUGCUUGGUGUGUGUUAACCUCUCCCACUGGAGCCUCCAGACCAAGCCUCCUACUGAGGGGGGCCCAGAGAAGGAUCAGAGCAGCCCCUCCCAGACUCAGGCAGCCCCCCAGGGCCCCAGCACUGCUUCCAGGGCAAUUAGCGACAUCUGCUUUCCCACCUACUUUCGAGCAGAGAAAAAAAGUCUGCAAAUCAAGGAGUUUAUUUGGUGCAACAAAGACUGGGCCAUCCCCGGCACUAAUAGGGGCAAGGCCUCUGGGAAUCCCAGUGGAGGGGCCCACAGAGGGCUGUCCAUCCCAGGCCCCCUGACUUCCAGGGCCCUCCUAGUUCUGCCUCCC